rnacentral:rRNA from 1 species
CCUACGGGUGGCUGCAGUCGAGAAUCUUUUGCAAUGGACGAAAGUCUGACAAAGCGACGCUGUGUGAAUGAUGAAGGCCUUCGGGUUGUAAAGUUCUUUCGCCUGGGAACAAGACGAAGUUGUGAAUAACAACUGAGUUUGAGGGUACCAGGUAAAGAAGCACCGGCUAACUCCGUGCCAGCAGCUGCGGUAAUACGGAGGGUGCAAGCAUUAAUCGGAUUAACUGGGCGUAAAGGGCGCGUAGGCGGGUUCUUAAGUUAGAUGUGAAAUUUCGGUGCUCAACACCGAAGCUGCAUUUAAAACUGAGGAUCUUGAGGAUAGGCGGAGAAAAUGGAAUUCCACGUGUAGCGGUGAAAUGCGUAGAUAUGUGGAAGAACACCAGUGGCGAAAGCGAUUUUCUAGCUUAUACCUGACGCUGAGGCGCGAGAGCAAGGGUAGCAAACAGGAUUAGAUACCCGUGUAGUC